GGGCGAAAGCUGAUCCAGCCAUGCCGCGUGUGUGAAGAAGGUCUUCGGAUUGUAAAGCACUUUAAGUUGGGAGGAAGGGCAGUUACCUAAUACGUGAUUGUUUUGACGUUACCGACAGAAUAAGCACCGGCUANNNCUGUGCCAGCAGCCG
rnacentral:rRNA from 1 species